rnacentral:RNase_P_RNA from 7 species
UGGAGCAGAUGGAUGGCCGCCCCCACACCUAUUAACAUAGGUGUGGGGGAGGAAAGUCCGGACUCCGCAGGGCAGGGUGCUUCGUAACGCGAAGGAGAGGCGACUCUACGGAAAGUGCCACAGAAAACAUACCGCCCUAAAGGAAGCAAUGAGCAAUGAGUACAAAGCAAUGGGUAUUACUCAUUGCUCGUUACUCAUUGCUUCCUUGGGGUAAGGGUGAAAAGGCGAGGUAAGAGCUCACCGCCCUGAUGGUGACAUCAGGGGCAUGGAAAACCCCACCCGGAGCAAGGCUAAAUAGAAAGGCAAUAAAGGAUUGCCCGUCCGAAGCCUUUGGGUAAGCCGCUACACCCUUAUGGCAACAUGAGGGGCAGAUAAAUGACCAUCACCCCGCACAUAAAUUAUCUGCGGGGGGACAGAAUCCGGCUUAUAAUCUACUCCAGCAU